GACGAACGCUGGCGGCGUGCUUAACACAUGCAAGUCGAACGGAAAGGCCCUGCUUUUGUGGGGUGCUCGAGUGGCGAACGGGUGAGUAACACGUGAGUAACCUGCCCUUGACUUUGGGAUAACUUCAGGAAACUGGGGCUACUACCGGAUAGGAGCUUCUCCUGCACGGUGGGGGUUGGAAAGUUUCGGCGGUUGGGGAUGGAUUCGCGGCUUAUCAGCUCGUUGGUGGGGUAUUGGCUUACCAAGGCUUUGACGGGUAGCCGGCCUGAGAGGGUGACCGGCGACAUUGGGACUGAGAUACGGCCCAGACUCCUACGGGAGGCAGCAGUGGGGAAUAUUGCACAGUGGGCGGAAGCCUGAUGCAGCAACGCCGCGUGCGGGAUGACGGCCUUCGGGUUGUAAACCGCUUUCGCCUGUGACGAAGCGUGAGUGACGGUAAUGGGUAAAGAAGCACCGGCUAACUACGUG
rnacentral:rRNA from 1 species